rnacentral:rRNA from 1 species
AGAGUUUGAUCCUGGCUCAGAUUGAACGCUGGCGGCAUGCCUUACACAUGCAAGUCGAACGGCAGCGGACCUUCGGGUGCCGGCGAGUGGCGAACGGGUGAGUAAAGCAUCGGAACGUACCCGGAAGUGGGGGAUAACUAUCCGAAAGGAUAGCUAAUACCGCAUAUUCUGUGCGCAGGAAAGCAGGGGACCGCAAGGCCUUGUGCUUCCGGAGCGGCCGAUGUCAGAUUAGCUAGUUGGUGAGGUAAAGGCUCACCAAGGCGACGAUCUGUAGCGGGUCUGAGAGGAUGACCCGCCACACUGGAACUGAGACACGGUCCAGACUCCUACGGGAGGCAGCAGUGGGGAAUUUUGGACAAUGGGGGCAACCCUGAUCCAGCCAUGCCGCGUGAGUGAAGAAGGCCUUCGGGUUGUAAAGCUCUUUCGGCCGGGAAGAAAUCGGACAGGCUAAUAUCC